ensembl:snoRNA
CCUUUCAGCCAAUAAUGUUUCUAUUAAAAUUAUCUGAACCUGUCUGAAGCAUCGCAGUGAUGAAUAAUUUUCAAGUUUCAUUUCUCUGAUGUCA